AGCCCAGAGCCUGAAUCAGUGUGUGUGUUAGUGGAAGCGUCUGGAAAGGCGCGCGAUACAGGGUGACAGCCCCGUACACAAAAAUGCACAUGCUGUGAGCUCGAUGAGUAGGGCGGGACACGUGGUAUCCUGUCUGAAUAUGGGGGGACCAUCCUCCAAGGCUAAAUACUCCUGACUGACCGAUAGUGAACCAGUACCGUGAGGGAAAGGCGAAAAGAACCCCGGCGAGGGGAGUGAAAAAGAACCUGAAACCGUGUACGUACAAGCAGUGGGAGCACAGAGCAAUCUGUGUGACUGCGUACCUUUUGUAUAAUGGGUCAGCGACUUAUAUUCUGUAGCAAGGUUAACCGAAUAGGGGAGCCGAAGGGAAACCGAGUCUUAACUGGGCGUUAAGUUGCAGGGUAUAGACCCGAAACCCGGUGAUCUAGCCAUGGGCAGGUUGAAGGUUGGGUAACACUAACUGGAGGACCGAACCGACUAAUGUUGAAAAAUUAGCGGAUGACUUGUGGCUGGGGGUGAAAGGCCAAUCAAACCGGGAGAUAGCUGGUUCUCCCCGAAAGCUAUUUAGGUAGCGCCUCGUGAAUUCAUCUCCGGGGGUAGAGCACUGUUUCGGCAAGGGGGUCAUCCCGACUUACCAACCCGAUGCAAACUGCGAAUACCGGAGAAUGUUAUCACGGGAGACACACGGCGGGUGCUAACGUCCGUCGUGAAGAGGGAAACAACCCAGACCGCCAGCUAAGGUCCCAAAGUCAUGGUUAAGUGGGAAACGAUGUGGGAAGGCCCAGACAGCCAGGAUGUUGGCUUAGAAGCAGCCAUCAUUUAAAGAAAGCGUAAUAGCUCACUGGUCGAGUCGGCCUGCGCGGAAGAUGUAACGGGGCUAAACCAUGCACCGAAGCUGCGGCAGCGACACUGUGUGUUGUUGGGUAGGGGAGCGUUCUGUAAGCCUGUGAAGGUGUGCUGUGAGGCAUGCUGGAGGUAUCAGAAGUGCGAAUGCUGACAUAAGUAACGAUAAAGCGGGUGAAAAGCCCGCUCGCCGGAAGACCAAGGGUUCCUGUCCAACGUUAAUCGGGGCAGGGUGAGUCGACCCCUAAGGCGAGGCCGAAAGGCGUAGUCGAUGGGAAACAGGUUAAUAUUCCUGUACUUGGUGUUACUGCGAAGGGGGGACGGAGAAGGCUAUGUUGGCCGGGCGACGGUUGUCCCGGUUUAAGCGUGUAGGCUGGUUUUCCAGGCAAAUCCGGAAAAUCAAGGCUGAGGCGUGAUGACGAGGCACUACGGUGCUGAAGCAACAAAUGCCCUGCUUCCAGGAAAAGCCUCUAAGCAUCAGGUAACAUCAAAUCGUACCCCAAACCGACACAGGUGGUCAGGUAGAGAAUACCAAGGCGCUUGAGAGAACUCGGGUGAAGGAACUAGGCAAAAUGGUGCCGUAACUUCGGGAGAAGGCACGCUGAUAUGUAGGUGAAGUCCCUCGCGGAUGGAGCUGAAAUCAGUCGAAGAUACCAGCUGGCUGCAACUGUUUAUUAAAAACACAGCACUGUGCAAACACGAAAGUGGACGUAUACGGUGUGACGCCUGCCCGGUGCCGGAAGGUUAAUUGAUGGGGUCAGCGCAAGCGAAGCUCUUGAUCGAAGCCCCGGUAAACGGCGGCCGUAACUAUAACGGUCCUAAGGUAGCGAAAUUCCUUGUCGGGUAAGUUCCGACCUGCACGAAUGGCGUAAUGAUGGCCAGGCUGUCUCCACCCGAGACUCAGUGAAAUUGAACUCGCUGUGAAGAUGCAGUGUACCCGCGGCAAGACGGAAAGACCCCGUGAACCUUUACUAUAGCUUGACACUGAACAUUGAGCCUUGAUGUGUAGGAUAGGUGGGAGGCUUUGAAGUGUGGACGCCAGUCUGCAUGGAGCCGACCUUGAAAUACCACCCUUUAAUGUUUGAUGUUCUAACGUGGACCCGUGAUCCGGGUUGCGGACAGUGUCUGGUGGG
rnacentral:rRNA from 1 species